AUAAAAAUUUAUGAUUUUAAAAAUUUAUUCAUAAUUUAUUUUAUAUAUAAAUUUUAGUAUAAAUUAAUAAUUAUUUUAAUAACAAUAGUUUAAUGUGUAGUAAUUAAAAUUAAAAAUUUAAGAAAUUAAGAUUUAGUAAUAUUAAAAUUAUUAACAAAUUUUGUGCCAGCAGUUGCGGUUAUACAAAAAAUAAGAUACAUUUUUUUAGUAAAAAUAAAAAUAAUAAAUUUAAGUUAAAUUAAAUAUUAAAUUAUUAAGUGAAAUUUUAAUUUAAUUAAAAUUUAAUAAUUAUUUUUGAUUUAUUAAAUUUUAGAAAAUAAACUAGGAUUAGAUACCCUAUUAUUGAAAAUUAAAAAAAUAAAACUAAAAUAUUAAUUAAUUAAUUAUUGAAACUUAAAUAAUUUGGCGGUAUUUUAGUUCAUUUAGAGGAAUCUGUUUAAUAAUUGAUAAUCCACGAAUAAAUUUACUUAAUUUAUUAUUUUAUAUAUCGUUGUUUAAAAAAUAUUUUUUAAUGAAAAUAAUAUUUAAAAAUUAAAAUUAAAAAUUAAUUCAGAUCAAGAUGUAGAUUAUAAUUAAGAAUAUAAUGGAUUACAAUAAAUUUAUUUAAAUGAAUAUUAUUUUGUAAUAAAUAAUUAAAGGUGGAUUUAAAUGUAAUUUUAUAUAUUUUUAUAAAAUGAUUAAAAAUUAAAAUAUGUACAUAUUGCCCGUCGCUUUCAUUUAAAAAUUGGAAUAAGUCGUAACAAAGUAGAUGUACUGGAAAGUGUUCUAGAAAGA
rnacentral:ncRNA from 1 species